rnacentral:rRNA from 1 species
AUUGAACGCUGGCGGCAGGCCUAACACAUGCAAGUCGAGCGGAUGAAGGGAGCUUGCUCCUGGAAUCAGCGGCGGACGGGUGAGUAAUGCCUAGGAAUCUGCCUGGUAGUGGGGGAUAACGUCCGGAAACGGGCGCUAAUAUCGCAUACGUCCUGAGGGAGAAAGUGGGGGAUCUUCGGACCUCACGCUAUCAGAUGAGCCUAGGUCGGAUUAGCUAGUUGGUGGGGUAAAGGCCUACCAAGGCGACGAUCCGUAACUGGUCUGAGAGGAUGAUCAGUCACACUGGAACUGAGACACGGUCCAGACUCCUACGGGAGGCAGCAGUGGGGAAUAUUGGACAAUGGGCGAAAGCCUGAUCCAGCCAUGCCGCGUGUGUGAAGAAGGUCUUCGGAUUGUAAAGCACUUUAAGUUGGGAGGAAGGGCAGUAAGUUAAUACCUUGCUGUUUUGACGUUACCAACAGAAUAAGCACCGGCUAACUUCGUG